GAGGGUAUAGCUCAGUGAUAAAGUCUGUGCUUAGCAUGCACAAGUUCUUGGGUUCAAUCCCCAGUACCUCCG
rfam:Camelus ferus unplaced genomic scaffold scaffold951, whole genome shotgun sequence.